CCCUUAGAUGUUCUGGGCCGCACGCGCGCUACACUGAUACAGGCAACGAGUACCAUGUCCUGAGCCGAAAGGCUUGGGUAAUCUUGUGAAACUGUAUCGUGCUGGGGCUUGACGAUUGCAAUUAUUUGUCACAAACGAGGAAUUCCUAGUAAACGCAGGUCAUCAACUUGCAUUGAUUACGUCCCUGCCCUUUGUACACACCGCCCGUCGCUCCUACCGAUUGAAUGUUCCGGCGAACAAUUUGGACGAGCUCGGUUUACCUUGCUUGGAAGUCUUGUAAGCCAUAACACUUAGAGGAAGGAGAAGUCGUAACA
rnacentral:rRNA from 1 species